ensembl:lncRNA
CAGUAAGAGCAGUAGAGAGACAGUAAGAGCAGUAGAGACAGUAAGAGCAGUAGAGAGAGACAGUAAGAGCAGUAGAGAGAGACAGUAAGAGCAUGAGAGAGACAGUAAGAGCAGUAGAGAGACAGUAAGAGCAGUAGAGAGACAGUAAGAACAGUAGAGAGACAGUAAGAGCAGUAGAGAGACAGUAAGAGCAGUAGAGAGACAGUAAGAGCAGUAGAGACACAGUAGAGAGACAGUAAGAGCAGUAGAGAGACAGUAGAGAGACAGUAAGAGCAAGAGAGAGACAGUAGAGAGAGACAGUAAGAACAGUAGAGAGAGACAGUAGAGAGAGAGUAGAGAGAGACAGUAAGAACAGAAAGACAGUAGAGAGACAGUAAGAGCAGUAGAGAGACAGUAAGAGCAGUAGAGAGACAGUAAGAGCAGUAGAGAGACAGUAAGAGCAGUAGAGAGACAGUAAGAGCAGUAGAGAGACAGUAAGAACAGUAGAGAGACAGUAGAGAGAGACAGUAAGAACAGAGACACAACAGUAAGAACAGUAGAGAGAGACAGUAAGAACAGUAGAGAGACAGUAAGAACAGUAGAGAGACAGUAAGAACAGUAGAGAGACAGUAAGAACAGUAGAGACAGUAAGAACAGUAGAGAGACAGUAAGAACAGUAGAGAGACAGUAAGAACAGUAGAGAGACAGUAAGAACAGUAGAGAGACAGUAAGAACAGAGACAGUAAGAACAGUAGAGAGACAGUAAGAACAGAGAGAUGGUAGAGAGACAGUAAGAAGAGUAGAGAGACAGUAAGAAGAGUAGAGAGACAGUAGAGAGACAGUAGAGACAGUAAGAACAGUAGAGAGACAGUAAGAACAGUAGAGAGACAGUAAGAACAGUAGAGAGACAGUAAGAACAGUAGAGACAGUAAGAACAGUAAGAACAGUAGAGAGACAGUAAGAACAGAGAGACAGUAAGAACAGAGAGACAGUAAGAACAGAGAGACAGUAAGAACAGAGAGACAGUAGAGAGACAGUAACAACAGAGACAUGGUAGAGAGACAGUAAGAACAGAGAGACAGUAAGAACAGAGAGACAGUAGAGAGACAGUAACAACAGUAGAGAGACAGUAACAACAGUAGAGAGACAGUAACAGUAGAGAGACAGUAACAACAGUAGAGAGACAGUAACAACAGUAGAGAGACAGUAACAACAGUAGAGAGACAGUAACAACAGUAGAGAGACAGUAACAACAGUAGAGAGACAGUAAGAGCAGUAGAGGCCAGUAGGAUGUGUGCCAUUUGGGACACGGUAGAUGAGGUUUCCUGACCUGGCUCUGAUAUUGGCCUAGAUGGCUCAG